CUGAGGCCCUGAAUCUUCAGAAACUUCUGUCAAUGCAGAGUUAGAAAUGCUCACUGAAUCCUCACUAAAACCAGCUCAUUUUAUAUCAUCAAAAGCAGGAAAUGACUGUUCUUUAGUUUUUUUUUUUUUUUUUUUUUUUUAACACUUUCUGGACUGUCAGUUUUUUUUUUUUUUUUUUUUUUUUAACUACUUUUCUGGAAGAAUACCUCCCACAUUUCUGCUCACUCAGUGGUUUUGGUCCAGAUAUUUUAUGAUGCAAUCCUGUGCUUAAGGAAUGAAUGGGAGUAAGGACUGUGAUGAAAUAUUGGAUUGCAGCUUUUGCUGUUUACUUUUAGGCAACUAUAUACAGUAUUUGGUGUGUUUUCUCCCACAUUUACGACUCUGUUGAUUUUUGUUUUAACAACAAACAAAUAAAAAUUAAUAAACAUUUUUAAAUGAUUUCUUUAGACUCAUGAUGGGGACAUCCGUGCAGAUGCUUCCUGUUGCCGCAGAGAAGCAUCAGAGCAGAAAAGAGGAAGGAUGUGAAGGCUCCAGAAGAAUUACACAUCAGUGUUUGGUACAAGAGAACCACUCAAACCAUGACUGUAUCAGAUUUCUUACAAUCAAACGGAAAAUAAUCUGCUCAGAUCCCUCCUCACCAUGGGCCAUUAAAUCAAUGAAGUACCUGGAUGGAAAGAACAAACCUCACUCUACAACUCCAAAAUGCGCUCCUCCAAUGGUUUAUACCACACGGAAAAUAGACAUAGGAGGGCACGCAACACAAAAAACAGAAAGGGAUUGGAGAGGAUCUUCUAAAGUCAUAGAGACAUUUGGGCUGGCAUGGGAGGAAAAGAAAGAGUCCUUAUUAACAGAAACAACUUCAUCAACUAUUAUGAAAUUCAACAUAAAAGGACACACAAAACAAAAAAACAGAAAACAAGAAAGAGUUUCUCAUCUCAAGAACCAAAUCACCAGAGCAGGAUUGGAGAGAAUCUACUGAAACCACAGAGAUGAUUCAGCAGGAUGGACUCACAUGGGAGGAAGGGAGAGAGACAGAGUCCAUAUUUACAGAAACAACUUCAUCAACCAUUAUGAAUGAGUCAUUUAUUAACAAUGGUUACUUUUGCUUAAAAUGGGAGAAGUUUCAAUACUUGGGGUAAUUUAAUUUUAUAUUAAUUUUAUAUUUAGCAGCCCUAUGAAUGAUUCAUGACCUAUUCAAAUUUUAUCUGUAUAUAUUUGUAUGGAACCAUUUUUGUAUGCAGUGCCUUUUUAAUUACAUGACUUAGUAAAAAAAAAAAAAAAAAGAGACUAGUAGUGGAAAAAAAAAAAAAAAAAAAAUUUUAACCCUUCUUUUUUUUAAUUUAAAAAUUAGGUAACCGAACUUUUAGUUUUAUUAGUCACGUAGCUUUUAACUUUUAACUAUAGACUAGUUAAAAUAAAAAAAAAAAAAAAAGCUGUGUGGAGAAGACUAUUUUUAACAUUGCAUUAAGAAAAGGAUGUAAAUUUUGGGUAACACUUUAUAAUAACUUUCAUUAAUAAAUCAUUAACAAGCAUUAUAUAAUGAUUAAUAGAUCAUAAGUUAAUAUAUAUUCAGAUAGCUAGAAACAUGAGAUAAUGUGCUUGUUAAUGUUUACUAAUGAACUUAUUCGACAUUAAGCCUACCUAAUGAUUAACAGAUAAUGUAAAUUAAAAUGCUUACAAACUUACUUUCAGUUGAUAUGAUCAUGCUCUUGAAAGUGAAAGUCGUGACAUUUGCCAAGUAUGGUAACCCAUAUUUGGAAUUGGUGCUCUGCAUUUAACCCAUCCAAGUGCACACACACAGCAGUGAGAAGUGAACACACUGUAAACACACACCCGGAGCAGUGGGCAGCUAUAUCCAGCACCUGGGGAGCAACUGGGGGUUCAGUGCCUUGCUCAAGGGCACUUCAGCCAUGGGUAUUGAGGGUGGAAGAGAGCGCUGUUCAUUCAUUCCCCACCCACCUACAACUCCUGCCAGCACCGAGACUCAAACCUGUGACCUUCUGGUUACAAGUCCAAUUCUCUAACCAUUAUGCCACAGCUGCCCCAUUCUCCAAAUGAUUUGAACAGAUAUUAUGCAAUGAUUUAAAGCCUACCUGGUCUCAUGACAUAAAUGUACCUGGGUGCAAUUUUCAGCGAGAUGCUGUAUACAUACCAAUAAGUACAUAUCACUGCAGUUUCCAAAAUAAAUGAACACUAGAGGCAGUAAAACCACACAACCACACACACUAAUCGAUGGCACAAACAGGGAGCGAGACCCAAAGGAACGUGAGACAUCAGAUUGUCACGAGUUUCUCGUAUUGCUGCCGUAGCAUCCUCUACCCCAGAUUCGACUAUGACAAGGCUUGUGAAUACUGGUAUUCUAUCAGCCCCUAUACAUCUUGAGAACAGAUUUGAAGCAUUAAUGAAUACGGGUGAGGAAUCCCCAAAUGUGAUUAAACAUGGAUCGGAUCAGCCAGCAGCUAACACCGCUACUAAGGAACGUGAGACAUCAGAUUGUCACGAGUUUCUCGUAUUGCUGCCGUAGCAUCCUCUACCCCAGAUUCGACUAUGACAAGGCUUGUGAAUACUGGUAUUCUAUCAGCCCCUAUACAUCUUGAGAACAGAUUUGAAGCAUUAAUGAAUACGGGUGAGGAAUCCCCAAAUGUGAUUAAACAUGGAUCGGAUCAGCCAGCAGCUAACACCGCUACUAACACGCGCUCAAGGUCGAGCAGACAGCGGCAUUCAGCUCAGAGCGCAGCCGAGCCCAGGACUCUGAUAGUGGGUGACUCUAUCAGAAACAUCAGUAGCAGGACUACAAAAACAUGCUGCCUUCCUCAAGCAACGGUCUCUGAUGUGAACAAGGAACUUCAGAACAUUCUGAUGAAGCACAAGACUGCAAAUCGAAUCAUCAUCCAUGUGGGGAAGAAUGAUAUUUGGUAAGAGCAGUCAGAACUCCUUAAGAAGGACUUCAGUGAACUCUUUGAAACACUUCGAAGACUCAAUGUUCAGUUGUUCAUCAGUGGAGCACUCCCAGCAAGGGGAACAAAUAUGUUUUCACGGUUGCUUGGGCUGAACACAUGGCUACAAAGAUCUUGCAAUAUAAAAGGAGUGAAUUUCAUCAACAACUUCAGUCUUUUCUGGGGCCAUAGACAACUGUUUAAACCAGAUGGCCUCCACCCAAACAAACUUGGUGCUAGAGUGCUUAAGGACAAUAUCUACUUUUGCAUCUGUCAUCCUUCCGCAGAGUAUGUCAAUUCAUUCAGCACACACACACACACAACAGGUCCGAGUCAUCAUGUGGUUGACAUAUCCCACAAGGACACUGAUAACACCAUGUAGCCACAACAAGCACUGCUGAUGGACACUAUCCCGGCUGAGCCCUGCCCACAGAGCUCCUCACAGACAGACUGUGAUGUAUCAAACAGCUACAAGACUCAGCACCCAAGGACGACUUUCUGGAAAACAGCCAGGGACGCCCGGACAACAUAUCACAGUCACCAGACAUUUUUAAUAUUCGGGUAGAUAAUCCAGAAAACAAAACUACAAAAGAAAUGAUAACGGUUCUAAACACUUUUGACCUGAUUCAGCAUGUGCAUGGACCCACACACAAAAGGUGGACACACUCUAGAUUUAAUCAUCAGUAGGGGUCUAAACAUUUCAUCCAUUGUUAUUAAGGACGUAGCACUAUCUGAUCACUUCUGUAUUUCGUUUGAUAUAUUGAUCUCUGCUACCACUGAAUCUAGACCUGUCUCUGUCAGAAGGAGAUGCAUUAACGAGAACACUAGUGUGCUGUUUAUGGAGGCUAUAUCUUUAACACCUAAGUCAUUUCUGCAGACUCUGUUGAUAUUCUCCUUGAUAAAAGUUAAGAAUGUUAUUGAUGAUAUUGCUCCAAUAAUAGUCAGUAAGA
rnacentral:lncRNA from 1 species